rnacentral:rRNA from 1 species
ACCUGCCCUUAAGUCUGGGAUACCAUUUGGAAACAGAUGCUAAUACCGGAUAACAACAGAUGAUGCCUAUCAACUGUUUAAAAGAUGGUUCUGCUAUCACUCUUGGAUGGACCUGCGGUGCAUUAGCUAGUUGGUAGGGUAACGGCCUACCAAGGCGAUGAUGCAUAGCCGAGUUGAGAGACUGAUCGGCCACAUUGGGACUGAGACACGGCCCAAACUCCUACGGGAGGCAGCAGCU